UACGGAGGGUGCGAGCGUUAAUCGGAAUUACUGGGCGUAAAGCGCGCGUAGGCGGCGUGAUAAGCCGGUUGUGAAAGCCCCGGGCUCAACCUGGGUACGGCAUCCGGAACUGUCAGGCUAGAGUGCAGGAGAGGAAGGUAGAAUUCCCGGUGUAGCGGUGAAAUGCGUAGAGAUCGGGAGGAAUACCAGUGGCGAAGGCGGCCUUCUGGACUGACACUGACGCUGAGGUGCGAAAGCGUGGGUAGCAAACAGG
rnacentral:rRNA from 1 species